rnacentral:rRNA from 1 species
AUGCAACACCUCCUCGCGGGCUGCUCCUUCUCCCGCCAGGUAUGGCACGAGGUGCUCUCCUGGUGCCGCUCCACUGCCACGACUCCGAGCCAUGACGAAGAGUUUAUCGCCUGGCUGACCUCUGCCAUCGCCUCCUCGCCACGCGGUCAUCGACGCGGGCUCGCCUCCAUCGCCAUCCUCACCGCCUGGUGGCUCUGGAAGCACCGCAAUGGCUGCACCUUCGACGGCGACCGCCCCUCCGUGAGCCGCGCUGUCAAUGUCAUCCGAGACGAGGCAAGACUAUGGGCACGCGCGGGCGCCACGCACUUGGCGCAGAUCUUACUAGAGACGUAG